rnacentral:tRNA from 1 species
GUGCCCGUAGCUCAGUGGAUAGAGCGUCGGCCUCCGGAGCCGAAGGCGUAGGUUCGAUCCCUAUCGGGCAUACCA